AGACAAGUCCUUGGUACAAGAUUAGCAUAAGCAGACAUGUCAGGGCUCGAGACCCAGGUAUAAGAUUAGCAUAGACAAACACCUCUGAAGUCCCACCACCCAAAGUACAAUAGAAGUUCCUUUGCAUGUCUGGCCCCUUGGCAAGUCUGGUGAUGGGAUUAGGCUUUCCUUGGCCAACAAUCAGCUCAGUAAUUGUCACCUCUAGGCACUUCCUGGAGUCCUUUUCUCAAGGGCAAAAUAGCUUUGGAAUGGAGGAAACUGGCAAAGGAGUUGAUUUUAUAUGAUUGUUAAAGCUAGGUAACUUCCCUGAACUGUCAAGCUGAAAGGAUACAUUCAGGCAUAAUAUUUGUAACAUUUAACAACUUUAAAGAUGCGCCGCCCCCCGUAAUCUCUGUAACACUGGGUAUCAGACUGAAGCUGGAUCAGGGCUUCUAGCAGCUUCCGGGUCCCAGAGGAGGGUGCUUUGCAGGCAGGCCUGAACCCCAGAAACAACACCUGGUUUCGAAAGGAGUUGCAAGGCUUCUGAUUUCCUGUUCCUUAGGGAGAGCCCCAGCCUUUCAAGCCAACUCCAAACGCGCAGUGGAGUAAACAAAGCUUUGGAAAUCCAGGAGUGGUGGGCACAGGGAGCAAGAAUAUAUAUUGCAGAGGCAGAGAGACGGCAGAGAGAUGUGGGCGGCUGCUGCUGCUGCUUCUCUUACUUGCUCUCCUCCUUGUUAUCACGACAGUCGUGUCUCCAGCACAGCAACAAAAGCGGAGUCUCUCUGGCUUGUGAAGGCGGCGGCGGCGGCGGCGGCUUCCAAACUUUAGAGCUUUCACAAAUCUCUCCCUGCCUUUUCAGGCACUCAAAGGCUUCCUCAGGCACUUACUUGCUCCGAGAAAGAUUAUAGCAAAGCUUUCUGCUUUGUGCUUCUCCACCCAGGGGGUCUCCAGAUUGCUGGGCCAUUAGGCGCUUGAAUGACCUCCACCCCCCCUUCCUUUUUUUUGGUGGUGGUGGUGAGAUAUUUCUAAACUCCCUUUUUCACACUGGCUUUUGAUGGCUCCUUAAUGGCCCACACCAGAGCCAGGGCAAAGGACAUCGCUUCAUCCCGAUGGAGGAGGAGGGGCCAGCCUCCUCUCUUUCCUUUGGCCUGGAAGGCAGUUGAAACCGAACCAAUCCACUUCGUUUUGAUCUUCCUCUUCCUCCUUCCGUGGAACAUCAUCUGGGAUUCAGGCAAGGAACAUCUGUGCGUCCUAGCAAGGUGCAAAAAUAUACCCCACCCCCAAGACACCCUCCAAGUGGUCCCUAUUUUCCAGGGACAGUCCCGGAUUUAAAAGAAGCCACCCCUGCAAGGAUCCUGUACAUGUUUACUCACGAGUAAGUCCCACUGCCUUUAAUGAGGCUUGCUUCCAGGGAGACAUGCCAUUGACUGCAGCCUAAAUGUCCAUUUCGACAGCAGAGGUCGGCAUGAAUUUGAAUCUGUGAGCAGAAAAUUUGAUUCCUGCGGGGUUUUGAUCCCCAUAGAGGGUGUCUGUGGGGGUUGGUUUUUUUUUAGGCGGGGGGUGGUGGAUUCUGCCCUUGGGGUCGUCUUCUUCUUUUAACAACCUUGGGGGUGCGUUGACCUGCAAAAAAGUCCAAUGGCUUCUUCAAGGGCACAGCAUGCAGGAGAAGUUUCAACCACGCAUAUCCUCGCCCCCCUCCCGCACCCCCGAGCCAUUAAUUUCAGCUGAUAAAUCUGCAGAGCUGUCUCAAAUAAUGUCAGGAGGAGCAGCGUCGGGAGCAAA